rnacentral:rRNA from 1 species
AAUGUCUCAGUUCGGAUCGGAGUCUGCAACUCGACUCCGUGAAGCUGGAUUCGCUAGUAAUCGCGCAUCAGCCAUGGCGCGGUGAAUACGUUCCCGGGUCUUGUACACACCGCCCGUCACACCAUGAGAGUCGGGAACACCCGAAGUCCGUAGUCUAACCGCAAGGGGGACGCGGCCGAAGGUGGGUUCGAUAAUUGGGGUGAAGUCGUAACAAGGUAGC